CUAUAUAUUCGGUUUGUGUUUCCCGUUCCCGUUCUUCAUUUUACUAUUCCGAUGACUGCAAAGGGGAAAGUGUUCCUAUGUCUCUGUCACUGUACAAAUCUAACGUUAUAAUCACAGGAUAAUCACUUUUAAUUUUCAAAUAACACGCCAAAUUGGGCUUGGGGCGGAAAAGAAUUAAUGGUGGGAGGUGGUAAGGAGUGGGGUGUCCUGCUUUUCCUACCCAGUCAUCUGGUCACCCUGGUUUUGAAUAAAAUUAAAUAUUUCAAAUGAACCGUCAUAGAUAGAUAAUUCACGACCAGAAAUUUCAGCAGCUAAUGCAUGAAUAUGCUCAAAAUAAAGGCGAUUCGAAAGGCAUUAUGGCAGAUGGUAUUAAAGAUGCACGUCCGAGCACUUUAAAAACAAAUGACAAUGCACGUCCAUGGUCUUCAAAUGAGUACAGUGCGUUAAAAAUUACUAAUCAUCUGCGGCCGAAAGCAUAUCCAUCGAAAU